rnacentral:snRNA from 1 species
AUCUUUGCGCAGUGGUAGUAUCGUAGUCUAUGAGGUUUAUCCGAGACGCGAUUAUUGCUAGUUGAAAACUUUACCCAAUACCCUGCCUUGCUGAUUUGAAACAUAAUUGACAAUGGCAAUUUUUGAAAGUCUCUUAGGAGA